rnacentral:lncRNA from 1 species
AUGUGCCCGUGCUUCCGUCUUUCUGAUCUUCUGCUGCAUUUGCUCUCUUCCCGCUGCAUUCUCUCUCCCAUUACAUUCUCUUUCUUUCUUUUUUUGGUUUUUUUUGGGAUAAUGUUGCUCUAUCACUUAUCCGCAUCCUCUGGAACCUGGUACAAAAUUUUGUUGACCUCCUCCUUUGUUUUGUUGUAAUAGGCUUUCUUCUUCAUCUCCGGUGAGGUCAGAUCUUCUCUUCGGGUUACCUCUGGUCUGCCCCUCUUUUUGUUUUUUUUGUUUUUUUUUUUUUGGCUAAAGUUCGUAUUUCUUUUGUCCCUUGUCCACUGACGUGCAGUUUUCUCUUUUUUUUCUCAUCCACGGGCUUGUUACCGCCCAAGGACGUGCCAUCUUCACUGUUGGUUGCAGAUCUUGUGCUUUCUUCUUUCUCUCCAGUGAGGUCGGGUCUUCUCUUCAGGUUGCUCUGUAUUCAUGUUUUUCUCCUCCUCUGUAAAAACUUGUUUG